UCAAUUUGAUCCGUUCCAAUGGAGUUCUAAAUCAAGUAGGCUUAGGAAAGAAGCAACAAAUUUUCUAUAUUGUCGUUUCAAUUCUUGUUGUCGUUGCCCCACCAUUCUUCCCAAAAAAAAAAAAAAAAAGGUAAAAUUGUGAAGCUCAAAGAUUCAACAAUGGCGAAUCGUCACGACGAUUAUUAUCAAAGCAGAAGAAUAAGAAAAAGCCAGGAGGACGACACAAUGCAGGGAUCGAACGGCGUCAUAUUGAUGACUUCGGGGUUUACAUUCCUCUACUCAAACUCGCUCGGUUGAUGGAUAAAAGCUCCGUUGAGUAUUAUAGAUUGACGUGGGAUGCUCUUCGCAAAUCCAUAAACGGCCUCGUCAACAAAUCAACGCUUCCAAUAUCAAAUACAUAAUCCCCGAACUGUUUUCCGAGAAUCUGAUCCGUGGAAGAGGGCUUUUCUGCCGCGCGUGUAUGAAAUCUCAGAUGGCAUCGCCUGGAUUCACAUAGGUUCUUGCCGCAUUGGUUUCUGUGGUCAACACUAAGUCUCCUCAAGUGGGUCAUCUUCUAUUGAGAAGGAUUGCGUUGCGACUCAAAAGGGCAUGUAAGAGGAAUGACAAUCCCCAAUUACUUGCCGCUGUUAAGUUCAUAGCACACCUUGUGAACCAGCAAGUGGCUCAUGAGAUUCGUGCAUUGGAAUUGCUUGCUGUUUUGCUGGACAAUCCUACUGCUGAUAGUGUUGAAGUUGCUGUUGGGUUUGUCACCGAGUGUGGGUCAAUGCUUCAGGACCGUUCACCUAAAGGCUUAUCUCUGAAGGUUCAUGUCCAUUUUACAAUUGCUUUUAGUUAAAUAUGUCGGUCAUCAUAGUUUGUUAUCACUACAGAGAAUUCUUCAUGAAGAAGAAAUUGAUAAAAGGGUUCAAUUUUUUUUAUUGAAGUAUCUGCAAUAAGGAAAGCAAAGUUUCAGGGCAACCCAGCUGUUCGUCCAGGAUCAGUCCUUGUAGAGCUGGAAGAUCAGCUGAGACACGAGAUUUCUCUAGAAGAGGAGAUAGAUCUGGAAAUUACUCUUGCACAUUUUCAAACCAGACCUUAAUUUCCUUGAGAAUGAGAAACAUUAUGGAGGAUUGAAGAAAAACAUACUUGGUUAUGAGUCUAUAGGUUCUGAUGCAGCUUCAGAAGGUGAUGACGAUGACAAUGACAGCAAUGAGGAAGAGGAAGAUGUAGAAAUAGAUGCAGAGGAGCUGAUGGAAAUAGAAGACAAGACAGACAGAUCUUCUAAAUCUUCAAAGGACAAUUUACCUAACAGUGCAAAUCUCGAAGCUUGGUAGUGGCUUUGAAGUUUGUUUUGAAUUUCUGAGCUCUGAAGCUCGCAAGAAGCUCUGAAGUUCAUAUCUGAAGCUCUUUUUGCUUGAUUUGUUUUCAAAUUUCUUUCUAUUCGUUUUCUUCAAAUCUGCAUAUUGAAGGAGAAGAAUUGCUUUUAAUUUCGCUCGCUCAAAGCCCUCUCGUUUCUUUCUUGUUUGAAGCACUUGUCUAUUUCUUUGUCUUCUUCAAUUUCAAGAAUCAAGGUAUUUUCUUCUUCUUAUUUGAUGGUUGAGAUUUGGUUAUUUUUUAUUUAAAUUUAAUGAUGGUUGAAUUAGAUUUGAUUAUUGUUCAUAUUUGUGCUUAAUUUUACUUAUUCGUGCAUAAUUUUGCUAUAUAUGUUCCCACAUGCUCAUCAUGUGUAAUAUGUUGCUUGUUACAUCAGAAAAACACAGUAAUGCUGUAGUAUAUCUUUGUGAACCUUUAGGUUUUUCAGCACCAUAUAUAGAAUUAGAAGCUCUUUUUUUUUUUUUUUUUUUUUUUUUUUUUUUUUUUGUGGGUUUACUUGGUAAUUAUGUAUUUCUCUGUUUAUAAGUCAAUUUUAUGGGCACUUUGGUUUCCUUUCAAUUCAUGCACAUUCUAUGGGUCAAAUUGAGCUUCUGUUGAAUUGCAUUUAAUGUAUCUCUUGAUUAUGCUGGCAGCCUAGCCACAUGAUUGAGUGUUUAGUAAUUUGGAUAUGAUGGAUAAUCAUCUCUUUAGUAUUGUGUCUGGCCUUCGAGGGUUUCUUUCUCUAUAGGAUGCUUUGACUGAGCUCUAUGAGGGUUAAAUUCUCUUCAAAUCCACAACUUUGGUUUAGUUUCUGGCUAGAAUUUUCAUUAUGGAUGCCUUUAUAACUUAUAAAUAUCUUAGAAUUUUUCUCUCUGUUAUCUUUUCAGAAGAAAAAAAGAGAACUGAUAACACCAUAACUUUCAUAAAAAAUUAUUACCUUGAAAUAUAUGCACAAUUACACACACACACACACACACACACACACACACACACACACACACACACACACAUAUAGGUAAUAGCCUCUAAUGUUAAGCACCUAAAAUACCCUUGCUGCUCAAGAGCCUUUCAUCUCCAUUUACAGAAUUCCAUAUUGGUAAUAAAAACUUUAUCCAAAAAAUAAAAUAGGAACAAGAAUAUUUACCUGUCCACUCAUUGCUUUUUGUGUAGUCUAUACCAAGGAUUAAAUUUGAUGAUUCAGGGUCAGCUUCUCUUAGUGCAGAAAUAACCUGUCAGUAUAUGAAUUGAUCUAGUCAUUAAAUGUUUGUAUUGCAGCAUCUUGAUAUGGCUAAACAUAACUUUUGGUAAAUAUGAUUAAAGAUAACUGGUAGUUGCUGCAAAAGGAAUUAGGUCUUGGACUCUCAUAUGGGUACAAAUUGGUUUUGGUAACAUAGAAUAGUUGGGAUGUGAAGCUGUGAGAUUAAUAAAUAUUGCCUUGGUAAAUUCUGGCUGCUUUCUUUACAAUCAGAUUGUAGUGUUUACAAUCUGAUUGGAAUGUGUAGCUUUUUAUUUGUAGGCAUUGUCAGACAAAGAUUCCCUUUUACAUAAUGACAUCAGAUGACACACAUUCCCUGUAGUUUGCCACUUUCAGGACCAAAUUCUUAUUUUGAAAUGGAACCGACACAAGCAAAGCUUCUAACGCAGGUAUGACUGGCUAUUGAUGCCUUACUGGAAAAAGCUUUAUACAUAUGUAAUCUGAGCAUGUCAAAUUCGCCAUUGCUUACAGGAAAAAGUUACAUGCUUGGAUGAUAAUGAUGCCCAGCUUGCUCUGGAACCACAUAAUAAGUACACAAUACAAGAAGCCUUCAUGCAUGGUUUUAUUUUAUAUAUAGAUAAUGCAUAUAAGCUUAAUGUCAUGUUUUUGUCAAUUAAUGAUUUGAAGCAUUUAUAUUUUUUUUACUUCAACAGUCAAUUUACAUAUGAUCCUUUACCACUUUGCCCUGUAAUAGACCAAACCUCAUGGCCAUGGCAAUGUGCAUUGACUACUGUAGUCCGGUGGCCUUCUAAAUUCUUAGUAUGUCAUAACUGUUUACCUAAUCUCUUUAGUUUGUCCAUCUGUCUCUAGCAUCACCUUUAUGUUUUAUUUUAUAUUAUAAUAGCAAACUUUAAUCUAGGCAUGCAGUGGUUUAACCAUGAGAUCCAUUUAAUUGAUGCUGUGUAGGUACUUGUAUGCUUGAAAUUAGCAUGCAUGUAUGGCUUGCUAGAAAGGCAAAAAUAUCUAUGUAUGUGUAUAUGUGUGGUUCCAGCAUGUCUAACACACUUAACUGAUAACUGCCUUUAAAAUGGAAUAAAUAUUAUAGUGAUCGAAAUAUUGAAAAUAUUUUACUGUCUUUACUAUGGCACUUCCAUCUAAUACUAUGGCACUUCCAUCUAAUGAGAGUUUGAUCGGAUUGCAAUAUAUUUUAUUAACCUGAAUAGUCAGUUUUCUUUUUGUAUUGUUGCUUUUGGAAGUUUAUAGUUAUAUUGUCAUCAUGUUGCCAAUUUCACGUAAUCUGCAGAAGGUCAUGAUUUUAACAGUCUUUUCUUUUUCACAGGCGCGAUGCUGGUUUGAGAUGGCUUCUAUUUUUCCCAGAUACAAAUAGACUUCUGUUCAAUAUCAUUUGCUUGCACUAAUGUCUAAUUGUAUUAUCUAUUUAUCAAGUUAGUUCCCUUGCUGUUCCAUGGAAAGCAAAAGAAGCCGUUGCAGGAAUUACCCGACUUACUCAUGCUGCUGCCAAGUACUCGAGGACCCGGCUAAUGAAAUUUAUGGUGCUCAUGCUUUCACCCUUUGACACAACUUUCAAAUGAGAAGUGCAAGCGAUGUGGUUUCUACAAGGAAGACUCUUUGAUUAUGUCAGAUGACAUAUUUGAUGAGUGGAAAUUAAGUUAAUAGAAAUCAUAUUUUGCACAACUUUUUAUCAAUUGAUGGAAUUUGCUCAAGUUUGUAUUUUAUUA